rfam:Neotoma lepida isolate 417 scaffold_4816, whole genome shotgun sequence.
ANCUUUGCGNAGUGGCAGUAUCGUAGCCAAUGAGGUUUAUCCGAGGCACGAUUAUUGCUAAA